UACGUAGGCAGCAAGCGUUGUUCGGAGUUACUGGGCGUAAAGGGUGUGUAGGCGGUUGUUUAAGUUUGGUGUGAAAUCUCCCGGCUCAACUGGGAGGGUGCGCCGAAUACUGAAUGACUUCGAGUGCGGGAGAGGAAAGUGGAAUUCCUGGUGUAGCGGUGAAAUGCGUAGAUACCAGGAGGAACACCGGUGGUGUAGACGGCUUUCUGGACCGUAACUGACGCU
rnacentral:rRNA from 1 species